CUUAAAGGAAUUGACGGGGACCCGCACAAGCGGCGGAGCAUGCGGAUUAAUUCGAUGCAACGCGAAGAACCUUACCAAGGCUUGACAUAUACGAGAACGGGCCAGAAAUGGUCAACUCUUUGGACACUCGUAAACAGGUGGUGCAUGGUUGUCGUCAGCUCGUGUCGUGAGAUGUUGGGUUAAGUCCCGCAACGAGCGCAACCCUCGUUCUAUGUUGCCAGCACGUAAUGGUGGGAACUCAUGGGAUACUGCCGGGGUCAACUCGGAGGAAGGUGGGGAUGACGUCAAAUCAUCAUGCCCCUUAUGUCUUGGGCUUCACGCAUGCUACAAUGGCCGGUACAAAGGGCUGCAAUACCGCGAGGUGGAGCGAAUCCCAAAAAGCCGGUCCCAGUUCGGAUUGAGGUCUGCAACUCGACCUCAUGAAGUCGGAGUCGCUAGUAAUCGCAGAUCAGCAACGCUGCGGUGAAUACGUUCCCGGGUCUUGUACACACCGCCCGUCAAUUCAUUGAA
rnacentral:rRNA from 1 species